rnacentral:rRNA from 1 species
AGAGUUUGAUCAUGGCUCAGAACGAACGCUGGCGGCAGGCCUAAUACAUGCAAGUCGAACGCCCCGCAAGGGGAGUGGCGCACGGGUGAGUAACGCGUGGGAAUAUGCCCCUGACUGCGGGACAACGUCUGGAAACGGACGCUAAUACCACAUAAUGUCUACGGACCAAAGAUUUAUCGGUCAGGGAUUAGCCCGCGUUGGAUUAGCUAGUUGGUGAGGUAAUGGCUCACCAAGGCUACGAUCCAUAGCUGGUCUGAGAGGAUGAUCAGCCACACUGGGACUGAGACACGGCCCAGACUCCUACGGGAGGCAGCAGUAAGGAAUGUUGGACAAUGGAGGCAACUCUGAUCCAGCCAUGCCGCGUGAGUGAUGAAGGCCUUCGGGUUGUAAAACUCUUUUAGGUGUGAAAAUGAUGAUGGUAACACCAGAAAAAGCUCCGGCUAACUUCGUGCCAGCAGCCGCGGUAAUACGAGGGGAGCGAGCGUUGUUCGGAAUCACUGGGCGUAAAGCGUGCGUAGGCGGUUUUGUAAGUCAGAAGUGAAAGCCUAGGGCUCAACCUUAGAAUUGCUUUUGAGACUGCAAAGCUAGAGUAUUGGAGAGGUCAGUGGAAUUCCGAGUGUAGAGGUGAAAUUCGCAGAUAUUCGGAGGAACACCAGUGGCGAAGGCGACUGACUGGACAAUUACUGACGCUGAGGCACGAAAGCGUGGGGAUCAAACAGGAUUAGAUACCCCAGUAGUCC